GCAUUAUUCUUUCACCUAAAGAAUUGCAGAUGCUGGAAAUGAAAAACACAAACAGAGGUUGCUGGAGAAGCUCAGUAGGUCUGACAGCAUCUGUGGAGAGAAACCAGAGUUAAUGUUUCGGAUCCAGUCACCCUUCUUCCGAAUUGAGGAAUUGCGUUCUGGGGUACAGUCACUGGACCUGAAAAGGUCAUCGUUUAGCACUGGAACAGUUUACAAAGAUUUCUCAUCUGUGCUGUCCCGGUCUGGUCCAAUUCCUCCACUCAACUAAAGGCACAGUGGUCUGAACCUUCCCACCUCAGCACCAGCAGAGACGUGACCAGAAUCCAGGGUUAUGGAUAAAAAUCUCCGAAUUGUCAUGCAGCGUGACAAAAUGGAUGGUAAUCAGGAGAGCAGUCUGAUGCAUGAACUGACAGAAUUGUUGUUCGCUUGCAUAGCCGAUGGGAAUAUGGAGGAAUUUAACAGAAUACUCAGCAUCGUUCAGGUGACCCAAGUGAAGCUGACGGAGCUAACAGGUACUGGCUCACAUCAACUCACUGUUUUAUUGAAUCACACAGAGGCAGGGCAUUGAUAGUCCACACAAAGCUGCCACAUCUCACUUAUCGGAUUACAGCGAGUUGACACCAUAGAAACAGGUCACAAAGUUCAACCUGACAGUGCUAUUAUAUGCUUCAUACCAGUCUCGUCCCACCUCGACCUGGUCACACCUUGUCAAUGUAUGUUAUUAUUCCUUUCACACUUACUCAUUUACUCAUUUUACAGUCAUAGAGUCAGAGAGAUAGAAACAGACCCCUUGGUCCAAAUGCC